rnacentral:rRNA from 1 species
AACGAACGCUGGCGGCAUGCCUAACACAUGCAAGUCGAACGAUGCCUCCGGGCAUAGUGGCGCACGGGUGCGUAACGCGUGGGAAUCUGCCCUUGGGUUCGGAAUAACUCGCCGAAAGGCGAGCUAAUACCGGAUGAUGACGUAAGUCCAAAGAUUUAUCGCCCAAGGAUGAGCCCGCGUAGGAUUAGUUAGUUGGUGGGGUAAAGGCCCACCAAGGCGACGAUCCUUAGCUGGUCUGAGAGUAUGAUCAGCCACACUGGGACUGAGACACGGCCCAGACUCCUACGGGAGGCAGCAGUGGGGAAUAUUGGACAAUGGGCGAAAGCCUGAUCCAGCAAUGCCGCGUGAGUGAUGAAGGCCUUAGGGUUGUAAAGCUCUUUUACCCGGGAUGAUAAUGACAGUACCGGGAGAAUAAGCUCCGGCUAACUCCGUG